UACGUAGGGUGCGAGCGUUGUCCGGAAUCAUUGGGCGUAAAGAGCGUGUAGGCGGUCCGGUAAGUCCGCUGUGAAAGUCGGGGGCUCAACCCUCGAAUGCCGGUGGAUACUGGCAGGCUAGAGUGCGGUAGAGGAUGGCGGAAUUCCCGGUGUAGCAGUGAAAUGCGUAGAGAUCGGGAGGAACAUCUGUGGCGAAGGCGGCCAUCUGGACCAGCACUGACACUGAGGCACGAAAGCGUGGGGAGCAAACAGG
rnacentral:rRNA from 1 species